AUUGAACGCUGGCGGCAGGCCUAACACAUGCCAGUCGAGCGGAUGAAGGAGGCUCGCUCCUGGCUUCAGCGGCGGACGGGUGAGUAAUUAAUAGGAAGCUGCCCGACAGUGGGGGAUAACGUACGGUAAGGAGCGCUAAUACCGUAUACGUCCUGAGGGAGAACGUGGGGGAUCUUCGGACCUCACGCUAUUAGAUGUGCCUAGGUCGGAUUAGCUAGUUGGUAGGGUAAAGUCCUACCAAGGCGACGAUCCGUAACUGGUCUGAGAGGAUGAUCGGUCACACUGGAACUGAGACACGGUCCAGACUCCUACGGGAGGCAGCAGUGGGGAAUAUUGGGCAAUGGGCGAAAGCCUGAUCCAGCAAUGCCGCGUGUGUGAAGAAGGUCUUCGGAUUGUAAAGCACUUUAAGUUGGGAGGAAGAGAAGUAGGUGAAUACCUUGAUGUUUUGACGUUACCAACAGAAUAAGCACCGGCUAACUUCGUG
rnacentral:rRNA from 1 species